UGCUUACAGGGUGGACAGUGUUUCUGGGCUUUUACUGUGCUGCUAUUUUCUGCCUUUAUCUAGAUGAAGGUACAUCUGCCCCUCCUGCUACGCUACACCCAGUUCCUGUGGAAAGGGGAGAGGAUUUUUGCUUUCUUCCUUGGAGAAACCCUUACCCAUGUGGAGGUCAUGGAGCAGGCAUUCAUCCAAACCAAACCAUUUCAGAUUCAGGCCAGUUGGAGUAGCUGAGUACAAACAUAAAGAUGCUACUUAAGGACAAGACGAAGCGAUGAAUGCUGUACUGCAUUGGUAUAUAAGUCUGAACUCCAUAUGAAGUGCCAGCCAGUUCUCCUCACAGCUCAGGCACACACAACAAUCCUUCUCCAGCCCCACA